UAAACCCUUAACCAGUGUUGUGUGGAAUGGAGACUCUGUAGCCCUGGGAAAAGAGGUCACAAAGUAACUGAUAAUAUGGAAGAAUUAAUACAUUUUAAUUAAUAAAUAAUAAAAUAUGAAUUCUUUUAAAAAUCAUCCUGAGAGCAUGAGUCACAAUGUGACCUCACAACUUAUAAUAAAAGCAGAGACAUCAUCAAUUUUUGCAGCUUUGUCUGAAGGAGUCAAACCAGCUUUUUACCCCCUGGAAGGUAAAAUGUCCCACACAUUUUAAGAGUUACUGUUUGCAUAGAACUUAAAAUGUUAUUUUUUUUUUUUCUGCAAAGCACUUCAUAUGAAAGGUACUGAGUAUCAUAAACAGGAUCAUUAUUCUGCAAACCACUGUGUAAAAGAUGCAAAUUACCUUUUGGCUGGAGUGAAACAGGCUGUACUUGCCAGUCACACCUGCUGACUCCUGAGACUGAACCUGGAGAUCCCUGCCCAUAACAAAAAUAAUAAUCCCAGACAAGAGCUGCUACAGAAAGGACCUGGAACACCUGCCUGAAGGCUGCAAGACAAGCUGCUAGGGGCCAUAAUUGGACAGAAAAUGUGAAUUAAGAAACAAUCUCUAGAUUCACUUUGUCCUUCGAGUGGUGUUGGAGAGCCCACGUGCGCAUCCCAGUCUGUCUGUGCCGUUCAUCCUGUUCCAUGGGAGCACUGAGGAGCCUUCAUCUGCCAGCCCAGCUCUUUCCUCCUCCCAGCCUGGCAGGGACCAGCAAUGCCCAUGAGCAGGUUG